GGUGAUAUAGCUCAAUGGUAGAGCACUUGCCUAGCAUGCAUGAGAGACUUGAGUUUGAUCCUCAAUACCAUAA
rnacentral:tRNA from 1 species